AUUUCAAAAUUGCGACUUGUCACGGCGCUUAUAUAAUUGCCUUGGUGAAUAUCGCUUGGGUUUUCUUUGAUCUGUGGUACGUGCCCCACGUUUGCUUCGUGCCAUUAUUUAGUGAUUCUGAAAUUGUGAUAUACACCUUUGUUGGAUGGCUGCAGUUGUUAACAUCGCGUGUGCCGCUUUUCAGCUCAUUUUUAUAUCUGGAAUAAAUUCAGACAGCGCAGCAAAAAUCCUUUGGUGGUUGCGCUCUAUGAUCUUUAUGUUCAUUCCCUACAGAGGUUUGGUACUCUUGAUAUCGCUUUACAAACACCACUUCCUGUACACUGCGCUCAAUGUCGUGGUCUUGAUUUUCUUUGCGUUCAGUACAAAAGCCAUGGAUGUGUAUCAAACAGAGCAUGGUUAGUCCCCAAUAUUAUAAUAUUUGACAAUGAAAAUGCUCCGUCGAUUCAUCAGACUGUAUGAAGCCAGUAAAUUAAAAACAUAGCGACGUGAGCUUUCCUCUCCAACAAAUUUGUGAAUAGUGAUAAGAACAAUAAACAUUGGCAAAAUCUUGCGGACAGCCCAAUUCUAAUCACUUCUAGUCACCUCUAAAUGAAUUUUUGUCCACCUGCAUC